AUUGAACGCUGGCGGCAGACCUAACACAUGCAAGUCGAACGAGUGGCGGACGGGUGAGUAAUGUCUGGGAAACUGCCCGAUGGAGGGGGAUAACUACUGGAAACGGUAGCUAAUACCGCAUACCAUCGGAUGUGCCCAGAUGGGAUUAGCUAGUAGGUGGGGUAACGGCUCACCUAGGCGACGAUCCCUAGCUGGUCUGAGAGGAUGAACAGGCACACUGGAACGGAGACAAGGUACAGAGUCAUACGGGAGGAAGCAGGGGGGAAUAUGGCACAAUGGGCGAAAGCCUGAGGCAGCCAUGCAGCGGGAAUGAAGAAGGCCUUCGGGUGGUAAAGUACGUUCAGCGAGGAGGCGGUACUCGCAGAAGAAGCACCGGCGAACUCCGUGCCAGCAGCCGCGGUAAUUC
rnacentral:rRNA from 1 species